CCUACGGGUGGCAGCAGUGGGGAAUAUUGCACAAUGGGGGGAACCCUGAUGCAGCAACGCCGCGUGGGUGAAGAAGUACUUCGGUAUGUAAAGCCCUGUCAGCAGGGAAGAAAAUGACGGUACCUGACCAAGCAGCCCCGUCUAACUACGUGCCAGCAGGCGCGGUAAUACGUAGGGAGCCAGCGUUAUCCGGAUUUUCUGGGGGUAAAGGGAGGCGAGACGGCAAGGAAGGUGUGGAGGGAAAGCCCGUGGCUCAAACACGGGACUGGCUUGGAAACUGUGUGGCGGGAGUGCAGGAGGGGUAAGCGGAAUGCGCGGUGUAGCGGUGAAAUGCGUAGAUAUUAGGAGGAACACCGGUGGCGAAGGCGGCUUACCGGACUGUAACUGACGUUGAGGCACGAAGGCGUGGGGAGCGAACAGGAUUAGAUACCCCAGUAGUC
rnacentral:rRNA from 1 species